CACAACAAACCCACGUGGGAGAUAAGGGAAGUGACGUCACGUAUUAAACCGGAAAUCGGCACAAACAACAGCUGGAGCUUUUGGCUUUUCUUUGACACCUCGCUACGGAUUUAUCGACAAGGAUCAGAGCGAACAGAAUGGCCACAGACUGGGUGGGCAGUGUUGUGUCUAUAAACUGUGGGCUGACGUUGGGAGUUUAUCAGGGAGAGGUGUCAUCUGUCCAUCACGGCAGCCAGACCAUCUCGCUGACGCAGCCCUAUCACAACGGGAUCAGAUGUUCUCUUCCCGAGGUCACGUUCAGUGCCAGGGACAUCAAGGAGUGUGAAGUUCCUUGAUGUCCAGAAUACAGCCAACAAGCCCGGCUCGGGUCAGGAGCUGCAACAGAACCCGGCUUCACACCUGCAGGACGUCAGAGCAACAGAACCCCUCAUGUGAACGAGCGGCUCGCAGUCCAGCACGGCUGCCAAAUCCUCCAUCCUAA